CCUACGGGAGGCAGCAGUGAGGAAUUUUCCGCAAUGGGCGAAAGCCUGACGGAGCAAUACCGCGUGAGGGAUGAAGGAUUUUGGUCUGUAAACCUCUUUUCUCAAGAAAGAAGUUCUGACGGUACUUGAGGAAUAAGCAUCGGCUAACUCCGUGCCAGCAGCCGCGGUAAUACGGGGGAUGCAAGCGUUAUCCGGAAUGAUUGGGCGUAAAGCGCCUGUAGGUUGUUUAUAAAGUCCGUUGUUAAAGCCUAGGGCUUAACCCUAGAAAAGCAAUGGAAACUAGUAGACUAGAGUAUGGCAGGGGUAGAGGGAAUUUCUAGUGUAGCGGUGAAAUGCGUAGAUAUUAGAAAGAACACCGGUGGCGAAAGCGCUCUACUGGACCAUUACUGACACUCAGAGGCGAAAGCUAGGGUAGCAAAAGGGAUUAGAUACCCCUGUAGUCCUAGCCGUAAACGAUGGAUACUAGAUGUUGUGCAUUAUGUACAGUAUCGUAGCUAACGCGUUAAGUAUCCCGCCUGGGGAGUACGCUCGCAAGGGUGAAACUCAAAGGAAUUGACGGCUGAGANGCGACGCGACACGAGGAGUAG
rnacentral:rRNA from 1 species